AAGUCGCAGACGAAGAUACACCUCACCCCUCUUCCACCACCACGACCAUCGUGUAGCCUUGACAGGGGCAAGGCUACACAACAGCAGUCAUCUCUACCCCUACUGGGACCAAACUAAUGCACAGGGACAGCUACCACUGGGUGUGCCCCUAGGGUAGUUUUCAGUUUCAUUUAUUUUGAAUAACCCUGUGAGCCAUUCGGCUCUUGAUUCGGGUGCAACCGCAACAAACAAUAAAAUUACAAAAUACAUUUAAAAUUUACUGUACGCAAAUUGAAACAUCCCCUACAAAAACAAUAAAAUCUUCCAGAAUAAAGCACGAUUUGUUAAUGCUGCAUAUUAAACUGUGCAAAAAUUCCUUUUUGAUGUUAGAUCACAAUAACAAUCAUAAUACAAAAUAGAUUAAAAUUUUAAGUAUAACUCUAUACUACAUCAAAAAAUCGGGCUAAACUAAACCUUUCUAGAAAUUACUAAAAUAAUGCUAUAAAAACAAUGUAACAGUGAUCAUAAGAAAUGUGAUUGAAAGUUUACAAUAGCGACAUACAUAAAAUCUAUUACUAAACCUAGCAUCCUUCGCUAGCUGCACGAGUCAAUCCAUAAUAGCAGGAGUAACAAUAGUAGUAGCAGCACACUAUAAUCAAAAUACAUGAAAAUUUCUCGCAUUGGUCAUCUGUAGCUAUAUAUUUGAUUUCAGGCCACUGGAUAGCAGUGGCAGCUAGGGUUGUACGACUCCUCUAGAGCAGUUUUGAGUGAUGGUCUUGUAGGUAAUGAUCCAAGCUGGAGUUUAUUUGCGAUAGCAUUCCAGACCCUGGGGGCAUCCAUAGCAAAAGCCCUUCCUCCAGUAUUUGUACAGCAAUAAAGAAUGCGAAGCUGGUAAAUGAGCGAAGAUCUUAGCUCAUAUUUGUUUUCCGAAACAAUGAGGAGAUCCAGCAGGUAAUCUGCGGAUUUUUUUGUAAGUACAUCGUAAAUAAAAUAUCUGAUGAAUAAGCCGUCGAUCAUUAAGAGAUGUUAGGUUUGAUCCAAUGUAGAGAUCGCAGUGGUGGGUCCUAUAUGGGCAGUUCAAUGCAAAUCUUAAGGCCGAGUGAUAUAUUGAGUCAAGCUUUUUCAGAGCAGUACUGGGUGCUGAUUUAUAUACGAUAUCACAGUAAUCAAGUAGAGGAAUUAUGGUAGCUUUUAUCAAUUCCAAACGGACCAUAGCGGUAAAACAGUGUUUGUGUCGAUACAGAAAACCAAUUUUUAUUUUUGUCUUUUUACCAAUAUAAUCAAUGUCUUCUUGAAAAUUCAAUUUUAAAUCAAGGAUGACCCCAAUAUACUUAUAGAUCUUGAUUUGCUCUAUUUCAUCAUUAGUUUUUGAAUAUAAAUGGGGAAAAAUAACGUCCUGCUUUAGUCCUGGUGAGAAGCAUAGCACCUUGGUUUUGGAGGUAUUCAGGACUAGUUGAAGAGCAACUAGCUGUCGUUGUAGUUUGUAGAAAUCACCCUGGAGCCUAGCAAUCACGUCAUCCGGAGAGCGUCCAGCAGUAAUCAGUAUAGUGUCAUCUGCAAACAGAUUCACCCUAGAAUGAUUCAGAUCAGUGCCUAAUUCGUUAACAUAAAGAGAAAACAAGAGGGGGCCGAGGAUUGAACCCUGUGGAACUCCUUUUGUUAUCUUAACACUGUUUGACCUCCAACCAUCUGUGAAGACAGUUUGGGGGCGAGAAGAGAGGUAAUUUUUUAAACAUUCUACUAUGUGUUCAGAGAAAUGGAGGCAACUUAGUUUACUUAGCAGACUGUUGUGGUCCACUGUAUCAAAAGCUUUGGACAAGUCAAGAAAUAGACUGGCGCAGUAUUGCUUUUUAUGAAAGCUACUGUAAAUGUGAUUUAGAGAGUCCAAUGCAGCAGUUGUGGUGCUGUAUUUGUUUCGAUACCCUGAUUGUUUUCUACGUAAUAUAUUGUUGUCGGACAGGAAACUACUAAUUUGAUAGUUCAGUAAUUUUUCAAAAAUUUUCAUCAAUGGAAGACAAAAUUGAGAUCGGUCGGUAGUUAUUUGGAUCAUCUUUAGGGUCUCCUUUGUGAAGUGGACGAACAUAGGGUAGGCUCCACAGCAGCCAGUCAUCACUACCCCUAUUAGCACCAAGCUAACGCACAGGGACAGCUCCCACUGGGAGUACCUCUAGGUUAGGCUACACAGCGGACCAAUCAAUUUUAAGGACAAUGCAUAUAUUAUCAAUGUGUUUUUUGUUUGCAUUUUGACCACAAGUAUUCUGGUUAACGCACACAUGAUUCCUUGUAAAAAGGUUUCAGUUUUGUUGCAAGAAAAAAAGGGGAAAACCCCUAUUAUUAUAUUUUGCUACUGGCAAAGGAGGUCUAAUGAUGAUUUUAUUUUCGUUGAGGUCUGAAUUGAGGCCGCCACCUUGUUCCUUCUCAGUCGCCGCCCUCUUGACGUGUCUCGCUCGUCCCUUGGUCCAUCCCCCGAGGAGGGGGGGGUGACGUUCCCAUCUGUCACACUGCGGUUGAACUAACGACUCUCGGUACAAACAGGCAACGAGACAUACGGACGGGGUUGUUCGUAUCUCUGGAAGUUCGUAAAUUGAAUGCCCAUAAGUAGAGGAGUCUCCGAAUAAACUCAAACCGACACACCUGAUGAUGACCGUUUGAGUUAUGGUCGAAACGUCGUGAGAAUUUUUUAUUGUUUUAUAUAUAUUUUGUUAUUUUGUUGUUUCUCUUCAACGUGACUUUACCGAAAAAACUAAGAAUAUCAAAUGGAGAUGCUCGCGGCUGGUAAACAGGUAUGCAGAAGUCAAUCCGGGUGUGCUCACAUCUCGCGGUUGGUAAAUUCGCGGUUUCCAAGGGAUCACUGUAUGAACAUAAGAGUUAUCAAAAGGUAUAUAAAGCAAAUAACGUAUCGUCGGGGAAUACAAUCCACACUAAAAAAGGCAAAAAUAAAAUCGCGAA